GUACUAAUCCUCCCAGGGGAACCUGGCCCUUAAUUCGAUGAUCCACGAGACUCUUACCCUCCCUUGUGUUGUUUAGGGUUUUACUUUCCAAGAUCCUUACAACAUUACAGUUUGCAUACCGCCGUUGUGCAGCUUAUACUGUGAAGGGAUAUAAAUAGGUGACGCAGUAAUUUAACCUUUGUUGAGUUACUACUAAUUCAGGUAAACGUGCAGCCAAUGGGAGGGGGCAGCUGGGUUACAAUUUUAGUUUUUAUUGGAGCCGUCGACUGAGGAGGCGGCGAAAGAGGACUUGGAAGUAACAGUUUUACAGAGAAAAGCUGUGAAUUUGGCUCUAGUACGUGU
rnacentral:rRNA from 1 species